rnacentral:lncRNA from 1 species
GAAAUAGUAAUGUAGUCUUAUAAAUGAAAUUUUUCGGCGUGUGCAUGUAUAACAAGAGUUCUACCUGUUUUUGUUAUUGAUCUAUUAUGUUAAGAUUUGAAUUAAAUAUAAACGCUAGUACGCUAAAACAUUUUUUUUUGUUUUUAUUAGUGAGCGCACUAAAGAAUAAAGUAUUCAUCAGUCAUCCCAACCAAGGUAUAUAUAAUCAGUCUAGCCUCUACGAUUUUAAUAAUACGUUCGAAGGGGAGCACUCCCAAGAGAAAUCUUUUACCUUGUGCUGUGUCAAUCUGCUACUCCCCUCAUGUUAACUCCGGUGAAGGUUAUUCGUACCAUAGAUUUCCCAAAGCCAAAGACAUUCGUGUAAAAUGGAUCACAGCUUGUCAUAGACAAGACCCAUUCAAUCCUGAAACUGCCAGAGUUUGUUCUAGACAUUUUGAGAAAGACUGCUUUCAGAGAAAUCUAAAAGCUGAACUCAUGUCUAACUACGGAAGGACUUCUAGUAGCAAGGUCCGGAAAACUUUGAGAUCCAAUGCAGUUCCUACCUUAUAUUUGGUUCCUGAAAGCUCUAUUCGAGCUGCAGAGAUAGAGGAAUCAAAUGUUGAAAGGACAAAAAGGCUCUCCUCCAGGAACACAAAACAAAUUGUCAAUGAAGUUCUCACUACUCCCAAACAAGCAGUUUGAAAGUUCAUAAAGCCCUGAAUAACUUUUUCUCGCGUCUUGGGAGUAUUCAACGAGCAUCCGACUAGUGUUCAUUGUAUCAAUAGACUAAGAUUAGUUGUUCUUGGAGAUAUGAUGUCAAUUUACUUCAUCAACAAUAAGAAAUUGUUUUUUAAUGUCAAAUGUGUUAAGACUUGACAGCCCUUAUAUUGGAAACCACUGUUGUAAGGGAUCAUUCUUAUGAUUUUUUAAUAUAUCAUUCUCACCCCCUUACGGAGUCUUUCUUAGAGAGCCAGAUCAAAAAAAUUGAGAGAUAUAUUUUCAGAGCUCCCGAGUUUUUAAUUUAUCUUGACAUGAGAUCUGUGCUUCCAUAAGAUUUUAAUCUAUAUUGGAAUAUUAUUAUACAUCUUUAAAAUGCUGUAAUGUUAUUGAUCCUUAGUAAAUAACUCUGAUUUCCGUCUAUAUUGUCUUUUCAUAGCAGAAUAUGGCUUUGAAUCGUAAAAAUAUCCUAAAAUAUUUGAUUUUUUUAUAUUUCUAAAGACCAAACCUGGUUCUGUUUUAAGGUUUUAAAGAUCAUUUUUGUAUUUUACGACUUAUAAUAAAAAUAAUAAACAUUUUACGACUUAA